rnacentral:rRNA from 1 species
AAAUUGAAGAGUUUGAUCAUGGCUCAGAUUGAACGCUGGCGGCAGGCCUAACACAUGCAAGUCGAGCGGAAACGGCAGCAUUGAAGCUUCGGUGGAUUUGCUGGACGUCGAGCGGCGGACGGGUGAGUAACGGCUGGGAACCUGCCCUGACGAGGGGGAUAACCGUUGGAAACGACGGCUAAUACCGCAUAAUGUCUUAGUUCAUUACGAGCUGGGACCAAAGGUGGCCUCUACAUGUAAGCUAUCGCGUUGGGAUGGGCCCAGUUAGGAUUAGCUAGUUGGUAAGGUAAUGGCUUACCAAGGCAACGAUCCUUAGCUGGUUUGAGAGGAUGAUCAGCCACACUGGGACUGAGACACGGCCCAGACUCCUACGGGAGGCAGCAGUGGGGAAUAUUGCACAAUGGGGGAGACCCUGAUGCAGCCAUGCCGCGUGUGUGAAGAAGGCCUUCGGGUUGUAAAGCACUUUCAGCAGUGAGGAAGGUGGUGUACUUAAUACGUGCAUUGCUUGACGUUAGCUGCAGAAGAAGCACCGGCUAACUCCGUGCCAGCAGCCGCGGUAAUACGGAGGGUGCGAGCGUUAAUCGGAAUUACUGGGCGUAAAGCGCAUGCAGGCGGUUUGUUAAGUCAGAUGUGAAAGCCCGGGGCUCAACCUCGGAACCGCAUUUGAAACUGGCAGGCUAGAGUCUUGUAGAGGGGGGUAGAAUUUCAGGUGUAGCGGUGAAAUGCGUAGAGAUCUGAAGGAAUACCAGUGGCGAAGGCGGCCCCCUGGACAAAGACUGACGCUCAGAUGCGAAAGCGUGGGUAGCAAACAGGAUUAGAUACCCUGGUAGUCCACGCCGUAAACGCUGUCUACUUGGAGGUUGAGGUUUAAGACUUUGGCUUUCGGCGCUAACGCAUUAAGUAGACCGCCUGGGGAGUACGGCCGCAAGGUUAAAACUCAAAUGAAUUGACGGGGGCCCGCACAAGCGGUGGAGCAUGUGGUUUAAUUCGAUGCAACGCGAAGAACCUUACCUACUCUUGACAUCCAGAGAACUUUCCAGAGAUGGAUUGGUGCCUUCGGGAGCUCUGAGACAGGUGCUGCAUGGCUGUCGUCAGCUCGUGUUGUGAAAUGUUGGGUUAAGUCCCGCAACGAGCGCAACCCUUAUCCUUGUUUGCCAGCACGUAAUGGUGGGAACUCCAGGGAGACUGCCGGUGAUAAACCGGAGGAAGGUGGGGACGACGUCAAGUCAUCAUGGCCCUUACGAGUAGGGCUACACACGUGCUACAAUGGCAGAUACAGAGGGCAGCGAAGCUGCGAAGUGGAGCGAAUCCCUUAAAGUCUGUCGUAGUCCGGAUUGGAGUCUGCAACUCGACUCCAUGAAGUCGGAAUCGCUAGUAAUCGUGGAUCAGAAUGCCACGGUGAAUACGUUCCCGGGCCUUGUACACACCGCCCGUCACACCAUGGGAGUGGGCUGCACCAGAAGUAGAUAGCUUAACCUUCGGGAGGGCGUUUACCACGGUGUGGUUCAUGACUGGGGUGAAGUCGUAACAAGGUAGCCCUAGGGGAACCUGGGGCUGGAUCACCUCCUUA